rnacentral:rRNA from 1 species
GACGAACGCUGGCGGCGUGCCUAAUACAUGCAAGUCGAACGCAGUGGGGACGGGUGAGUAACCCGUGGGUAACCUCCCAUCACUGGGGAUAACAUUUCGAAUCAGGUGCUAAACCGAUACUGAUGGAUGGACGCGGGGGGAAUUAGCUAGUUGGUGGGGUAACGGCUCACCAAGGCGACGAUGCCUAGCUGGCCUGAUAGGAUGAUCGGCCACACUGGGACUGAGACACGGUCCAGACUCCUACGGGAGGCAGCAGUAGGGAAUCUUGGGCAAUGGACGAAAGUCUGACGGAGCAACGCCGCGUGAGUGAAGAAGGGUUUCGGAUCGUAAAACACUGUUGUCAGGGAAGCGUUACCUAACCAGAAAGCCACGGCUAACUCCGUGCCAGCAGCCGCGGUAAUAC